GACGUAGGGCGCGAGCGUUGUCCGGAUUUAUUGGGCGUAAAGAGCUCGUAGGCGGCUCGUUGCGUCGGCUGUGAAAACCCGCAGCUCAACUGUGGGCUUGCAGCCGAUACGGGCGGGCUGGAGUUCGGUAGGGGAGACUGGAAUUCCUGGUGUAGCGGUGAAAUGCGCAGAUAUCAUUUGGAACGCCAAUGGUGAAAACAACUCGCUGGGGAAGUGCUGACGCUGAGACACGAAAGCCAGGGGAGCGAACGGG
rnacentral:rRNA from 1 species